GGAAAGAAGUAGGGUGAGGAAGUUCGAAGUUGAUCGAUACCUACCGACGGUUUUGUUUGAAUGUGAAAUCAAUGAAGGGAUAUUUCUUCUCUCGGGACUAGGAGGGAUCCGUUUUAGUGUUUGAGAAGUGUUGGUACGUGGAGGAGGAGGACCGGUAGUGCCGGAAGGAGCAGGGAAAUCAGGAACGGUACAGGUAGGUCGGAGAGUGGCUGCUGUACCGGUCCGGGUCGGUGGAGUACCGCUAAUCCUUGUGGCCGGGGAAAUCGCGGCUCGUGCAGUCCGACGACUUACUCUAUUUUGUUCUACAAUACUUUAAGCAGGAGUAGUUGUACGUUUUAUUAGGACAUGCUGGUCCAGCAUGCACGCUGGGCCGGCGUUCCCCUCCGACAGUCCACCCGGUGGGGGUGCUGCUCGAGAGAGUGUUUGCCCAGCAUGUCCUAAGCGCAGGAGUAAUUGUAGCGGGAGGACGAGCAGUGCGACUGCGAGCCAAAGCGGUUCGUCCGGGAGUGUAAGAAGAACGCAAGGUACCCGAUGAAGCCACUAGCGAUGAGUGAGCGGCUACAGUAGGCGUUCCACUAGUUCCCUUCGUCAGGCUUCCCGGGAAGCUAGCGGUAGCGGCCACGGCUGCGUGAACCCAAGUGUACGUACCGCGAAGACCCAAGGUACGAAAAAAUGUACUGCACGGCGGCGAGUCCCCACAAGAGACAGCUCCCAGAGUAGAAGGAGGAGUGUGAGCAGCAGAUGGAAAUAGAUUUAUCAAUCGUGAUAACUCAAAUAAUAGAUAUUUAUUCUAUACUGACACUAGUAUCGUUGUAGUUCAUACCUCAUAACCUGCAUUUGAGAACUGUAACGAUUUGUCAUCGUUUGUAUACAUAGAGUGUUCAUACAUCAUCGAACUAAGUACAACUACAUGAGUGACAAUCUCUUUCUAUGGUGUUAAUGUUAACCCUUCAUGUACACUCGCCAAGGAACCACAGUAAGUACAACAGUUAUGUUGAAGUCAUGGUGAAUUCUCAUAGAGAUUGUCUAAGUAAUAUUAAAUCUCCUCGUUUGUGGGAAGAUAGGAAAUCUCCUCAUAUAAACGAGGAGAUUUUUUCACACCAAAGAUUGGCUUGGCCUUGGCGAUUUGACUUGGGGGCUAUCAAAUAUAAACCGAGUACGUAAAGCAGCUUGUGAACGUCGUGUGUGUUGUUUGACAGUCGCUUGGCCCGCUCGCGGUUCUGGGUUGAGUUGGGAG
rnacentral:rRNA from 1 species